rnacentral:rRNA from 1 species
CAGGUUUACCUGUGUGACUGCGUACCUUUUGUAUAAUGGGUCAGCGACUUAUAUUCUGUAGCAAGGUUAACCGUAUAGGGGAGCCGCAGGGAAACCGAGUCUUAAUUGGGCGUUAAGUUGCAGGGUAUAGACCCGAAACCCGGUGAUCUAGCCAUGGGCAGGUUGAAGGUUGGGUAACACUAACUGGAGGACCGAACCGACUAAUGUUGAAAAAUUAGCGGAUGACCUGUGGCUGGGGGUGAAAGGCCAAUCAAACCGGGAGAUAGCUGGUUCUCCCCGAAAGCUAUUUAGGUAGCGCCUCGUGAAUUCAUCUCCGGGGGUAGAGCACUGUUUCGGCUAGGGGGCCAUCCCGGCUUACCAACCCGAUGCAAACUGCGAAUACCGGAGAAUGUUAUCACGGGAGACACACGGCGGGUGCUAACGUCCGUCGUGAAGAGGGAAACAACCCAGACCGCCAGCUAAGGUCCCAAAGUCAUGGUUAAGUGGGAAACGAUGUGGGAAGGCCCAGACAGCCAGGAUGUUGGCUUAGAAGCAGCCAUCAUUUAAAGAAAGCGUAAUAGCUCACUGGUCGAGUCGGCCUGCGCGGAAGAUGUAACGGGGCUAAACCAUGCACCGAAGCUGCGGCAGCGACGCUUAUGCGUUGCUG